GAUGAACGCUGGCGGCGUGCCUAAUACAUGCAAGUCGAGCGAACAGACGAGAGUGCUUGCACUCUCUGACGUUAGCGGCGGACGGGUGAGUAACACGAGGGUAACCUACCUAUAAGACUGGGAUAACUUCGGGAAACCGGAGCUAAUACCGGAUAAUAUUUAGCUUCGCAUGAAGCAAUAGUGAAAGACGGUUCUGCUGUCACUUAUAGAUGGACCCGGGGUGUAUUAGCUAGUUGGUGAGGUAACGGCUCACCAAGGCAACGAUACAUAGCCGACCUGAGAGGGUGAUCGGCCACACUGGGACUGAGACACGGCCCAGACUCCUACGGGAGGCAGCAGUAGGGAAUCUUCCGCAAUGGACGAAAGUCUGACGGAGCAAUGCCGCGUGAGUGAAGAAGGUUUUCGGAUCGUAAAACUCUGUUGUAAGGGAAGAACAAGUACGUUAGUAACUGAACGUACCUUGACGGUACCUUACCAGAAAGCCACGGCUAACUACGUG
rnacentral:rRNA from 1 species